rnacentral:rRNA from 1 species
GAUGAACGCUGGCGGCGUGCCUAAUACAUGCAAGUCGAGCGAAUGGAUUAAGAGCUUGCUCUCAUGAAGUUAGCGGCGGACGGGUGAGUAACACGUGGGUAACCUGCCCAUAAGACUGGGACAACUCCGGGAAACCGGGGCUAAUACCGGAUAACAUUUUGAACCGCAUGGUUCGAAAUUGAAAGGCGGCUUCGGCUGUCACUUAUGGAUGGACCCCGCGUCGCAUUAGCUAGUUGGUGGGGUAACGGCUCACCAAGGCAACGAUGCGUAGCCGACCUGGGAGGGUGAUCGGCCACACUGGGACUGAGACACGGCCCAGACUCCUACGGGAGGCAGCAGUAGGGAAUCUUCCGCAAUGGACGAAAGUCUGACGGAGUAACGCCGCGUGAGUGAUGAAGGCUUUCGGGUCGUAAAACUCUGUUGUUAGGGAAGAACAAGUGCUAGUUGAAUAAGCUGGCACCUUGACGGUACCUAACCAGAAAGCCACGGCUAACUACGUGCCAGCCGCCGCCGUAA